rnacentral:rRNA from 1 species
CGGUAAUUCCAGCUCCAAUAGCGUAUACUAACGUUGUUGCAGUUAAAAAGCUCGUAGUUGGAUUUCUGAUCUUUGCCAAUGGUUGUGUCGCCGCGUGCGAGGCGCCUUGCGCAGAGGUCAACAUAUGUCACGAGCCAGUGUGAUCUAUUCAUUUAGGUCCACUGGGUAAUGACUCGUUUACUUUGAGAAAAUUAGAGUGUUCAAAGCAGGCAUUUGCCUUGAAUAUGUUAGCAUGGAAUAAUAGCAUAGGACUUCGGUUCUAUUUGUUGGUUGUUCGAGAACUGGAGUAAUGAUUGAUAGGGACGGUUGGGGGCAUCCGUAUUCUCAAGCGAGAGGUGAAAUUCUUGGACCUUGGGAAGACGAACAGCUGCGAAAGCGUUUGCCUAGGACGUUCUCUUUAAUCAAGAACGAAAGUUGGGGGAUCGAAGACGAUCAGAUACCGUCGUAGUCUCAACUAUAAACUAUGCCAGCUAGGGAUCGGUGGGUCUUUGUCACGAGUCCAUCGGCACCUUACGAGAAAUCAAAGCAUUUGGGUUCCGGGGGGAGUAUGGUCGCAAGGCUGAAACUUAAAGGGAUUGACGGAAGGGCACCACCAGGAGUGGAGCCUGUGGCUUAAUUUGACUCAACACGGGAAAACUUACCAGGUCCGGACAUAGUAAGGAUUGACAGAUUGAAAGCUCUUUCUUGAUUCUAUGGGUGGUGGUGCAUGCCCGUUCUUAGUUGGUGGAGUGAUUUGUCUGGUUAAUUCCGUUAACGAACGAGACCCGCGCCUGCUAAAUAGUCGGCCUCACUUCUGUGGGUGUUGUACUUCUUAGAGGGACCAUCCUGGGUAUACCGGAAGGAAGUUGCGGGCAAUAACAGGUCUGUGAUGCCCUUAGAUGUUCUGGGCUGCACACGGGCUACACUGCAAGAUACAUCAAGCGUCGAUCACGCCUGACUGGAAGGUCCGGCCAAUCUUUGAAUAUCUUGCGUGAUUGGGAUAGACCAUUGCAAUUAUUGGUCUUCAACGAGGAAUUCCUAGUAAACGCGUGUCAACAACACGCAUUGAUUACGUCCCUGCCCUUUGUACAGCAACCGCCCCGUCGCUCCGUACCGAUUGCGAUGUUCUCGACUGAUGCCGUCUUGCGAGGAGCUAAGCUCGAAAUGCGUCAGCUCGGAAGCUACGUCCGAAAUUCUGCAAAUCUGAAUAUCUAGAGGAAGGAGAAGUCGUAACAAGGUAACC